rnacentral:rRNA from 1 species
CACGUAGUUAGCCGUGGCUUCCUCCUUGGGUACCGUCAUUAUCUUCCCCAAAGACAGAGCUUUACGAUCCGAAAACCUUCAUCACUCACGCGGCGUUGCUGCAUCAGGGUUUCCCCCAUUGUGCAAUAUUCCCCACUGCUGCCUCCCGUAGGAGUCUGGGCCGUGUCUCAGUCCCAAUGUGGCCGAUCACCCUCUCAGGUCGGCUACGCAUCGUCGCCUUGGUAGGCUUUUACCCCACCAACUAGCUAAUGCGCCGCGGGUCCAUCUCAUAGCGGAUUGCUCCUUUGGUUUCAUGAUGAUGCCAUCUCGAAACAUUAUGCGGUAUUAAUCUUCCUUUCGAAAGGCUAUUCCACUCUAUGAGGCAGGUUACCCACGUGUUACUCACCCGUCCGCCGCUAAUCCGUUCCGAAGGAAACUUCAUCGCUCGACUUGCAUGUGUUAAGCACGCGCCAGCGUUCAUCCUGAGCCAGGAUCAAACUCU